rnacentral:ncRNA from 1 species
ACAAAGAUAAAAACGCAAUGUGCGUCUUUAAAGAUGCGCUAGAGCCGGUAGGUAGCCCGGCCGUCCUGUCCUGCCCGGACGGGGUAAGUAACCUGCCCCUCCUGGGUUGUCCGUUCUUUGUCCAUA